CCUACGGGAGGCAGCAGUCGAGAAUCAUUCACAAUGGGGGAAACCCUGAUGGUGCGACGCCGCGUGGGGGAAUGAAGGUCUUCGGAUUGUAAACCCCUGUCAUGUGGGAGCAAAUUAAAAAGAUAGUACCACAAGAGGAAGAGACGGCUAACUCUGUGCCAGCAGCCGCGGUAAUACAGAGGUCUCAAGCGUUGUUCGGAAUCACUGGGCGUAAAGCGUGCGUAGGCUGUUUCGUAAGUCGUGUGUGAAAGGCGCGGGCUCAACCCGCGGACGGCACAUGAUACUGCGAGACUAGAGUAAGGGAGGGGGAACCGGAAGUCUCGGUGUAGCAGUGAAAUGCGUAGAUAUCGAGAGGAACACUCGUGGCGAAGGCGGGUUCCUGGACAUUAACUGACGCUGAGGCACGAAGGCCAGGGGAGCGAAAGGGAUUAGAUACCCUAGUAGUC
rnacentral:rRNA from 1 species